rnacentral:rRNA from 1 species
GACGAACGCUGGCGGCGCGCUUAACACAUGCAAGUCGAGCGAAGCGGCGGACGGGUGAGUAACACGUGAGUAACCUGCCUUAGACAUUGGGAUAGCCUCGGGCAACCGGGAUUAAUACCAAAUGGUCUAAGAUGGACUCGCGUCCCAUUAACUAGUUGGUGAGGUAAAGGCCCACCAAGGCGACGAUGGGUAGCCGGGCUGGGAGGGUGAACGGACACAUUGGAACGGAGAAACGGUCCAAACUCUACGGGAGGCAGCAGUGGGGAAUAUUGCACAAUGGAGGGAACGCUGAUGCAGCGAGGGCGGGUGAACGAAGAAGGCUUUCGAGUAGUAAAGUUCUUUUAUAUGGGAAGCGGUACCAGAAGAAAAAGCCCCGGCUAACUACGUGCCAGCAGCCGCGGUAAUAC